GCCCCACCUCUACCCAUACCGAACAGAGCAGUUAAGCCCGGUUGCGCCGAUGGUACUAUAAUGAUGGGAGAGUAGGAAGCCGCCACCC
rnacentral:rRNA from 1 species